UACGUAGGGGGCUAGCGUUGUCCGGAUUUAUUGGGCGUAAAGAGCUCGUAGGCGGUUCGUCGCGUCGGCUGUGAAAUCCCGAGGCUCAACCUCGGGUCUGCAGUCGAUACGGGCGGACUGGAGUACUGCAGGGGAGACUGGAAUUCCUGGUGUAGCGGUGAAAUGCGCAGAUAUCAGGAGGAACACCGGUGGCGAAGGCGGGUCUCUGGGCAGUUACUGACGCUGAGGAGCGAAAGCGUGGGGAGCGAACAGG
rnacentral:rRNA from 1 species